AAAGAAUUUAACUUGCUAAAGAGGCAGCAAGAAUAGACGCAAUGUUAUGAAGGAGCAUGUUGAUGUAGAAACGUAUAGUAGAUAUUCAAAUUAUGCUUGCGUGUAUUUCUAAUUCAUCUAGGGGAAAAAACUGAAUCAAAUCUACGCAAAUGAUUCAAUGAAUGAAGCACUAAAUAUCACUAAACUUAAUUUCUGAAAAUUAGUUAAAAACAAGAAGCUAUUACACACCAUUG
rnacentral:misc_RNA from 1 species